UACGAAGGGGGCUAGCGUUGUUCGGAAUUACUGGGCGUAAAGCGCGCGCAGGCGGCUUUCCAAGUCAGGGGUGAAAUCCCAGAGCUCAACUCUGGAAUUGCCUCUGAGACUGUGAGGCUUCGAGUACGGGAGAGGUGAGUGGAAUUCCCAGUGUAGAGGUGAAAUUCGUAGAUAUUGGGAAGAACACCGGUGGCGAAGGCGGCUCACUGGCCCGGUACUGACGCUGAGGUGCGAAAGCGUGGGGAGCGAACAGG
rnacentral:rRNA from 1 species